CAAUGCGAGCGUAUCUGUUCAAUGUACGGUUAAAGGGCUAUUUUGCAUUUUUUGCCGAUUCGCACACAUUGGAAUGUGGCUAACUCCUCCUAAAGCUUUUGUCCCAUCGGCUUCAAAUUUGCUCAGGUCAAUCUACACCCCAUGUCCAUUCAAAGUUGUACAAAUCAUGAUGCUGCACCCCACGGUUUACGUUCUAGGGGGCGCCAAAGAUAACCCAAAAAUCCACAGUCUUAAAAGUCUUAUAACUUUUUAUUUUUGUCCUCACUGGCCUCCAAGUUCUCUAGGAUGAUGCAAUGUCCAGCCAUCAACACAUUUGUGAAGGAAUUUUUACUCCCCAAAAGAGCGCCCCCCAUGGCAGGAGAGAAAAGUCAAGUUUUUCCUGCCCAUCGCUCAAUGGCUCAAACGCAUCGCUCUCUCGGCAAAACCGAAAGGAGGAGCAACUUGCCAUUUGGAUAUAUACUAGCUGUGUUUGUGCCCUCACUCAUGGUCCAGACUUUUUUCAAAAAGGACAUGGAGUUUGUCUGCAGCGAGCAUUUUGGUAGAAACUGCGCCUCCCAUUCAUUAUAAUGGUAAAUGACCACAGACAAGUGCGCACACCAUCUUUGGACCUUGAGUGUGACGCAAUCGGGAGGGGUAGGCGGUCGCGCUGGGGGUGGCGCGACACGGCUCGGGCCCGCCAGUGCCCCAACGGGGCCCUAGUUAUUAUUAGGGCCCGAGCGUAGCUGCUAAGCAGCUGCGAGAGCCCUCUUGUUCCUGAUGGAUUCUUCUUUUGUUAUUAUUAGGGCCCGAGCGUAGCUGCUAAGCAGCUGCGAGAGCCCUCUUGUUCCUGAUGGAUUCUUCUUUUGUUAUUAUUAUUAUUUUUCCUCCGCUUUAAACUGGAAAAUGGCCCACUUCCCACUGGCGAAAACUCAUGAAAUUUGGCAGGACGACCGGGCCUGGUGAAAAAUUCGAUAUUCUUAAGUCGCCCAAACAAUAAAAUGCAAAAUGGCUCCAUAGCGCCCCCUAAGGUGAAAAUUCACACUAUUGACUGUCAUGCCUGUACGCUUUGUCAAAAUGACACAAAAAUUGACACACACAUGUAUCUCAAUAAGAUCUACAAAAAAGUCAGUGCGGGCGUAUCUGUCAAAUGUACGGUUAAAGGGUUAUUUCGCAUUUUUUGCAGAUCCCCACACAUUGGAAUUUCGCUAACUCCUCUGAAGACUUUCGUUCCACCAGCACCACAUUUGCUCAGGCCAAUCUACACCCCAUGGCCAUUAAAAGUUGUACAAAUCAUGACGCUGCACCCCACGGUUUAGGUUCUAGGGGGCGCCAAAGAUAACCCAAAAAUCCACAUUCUUUAAAGUCUUAUAACUUUUUAUUUUUGUCCUCACUGGCCUCCAAGUUCUCUAGGAUGAUGCAAUGUCCAGCCAUCAACACAUUUGUGAAGGAAUUUUUACUCCCCAAAAGAGCGCCCCCCCAUGGCAGGAGAAAAAAGUUAAUUUUUUCUUGUCCCCUAGGGUGAAAAUACACAUUGUUCAGUGUCACGCCUGUACGCUUUGUCAUAUUGACACAAAAUUUGACAAUCACGUGUAUCUCAAUAAGAUCUACGAAAAAGUCAAUGCGCACGUAUCUGUAAAAUGUACGGUUAAAGGGCUAUUUCGCAUUUUUUGCCGAUUCGCACACAUUGGAAUGUGGCUAACUCCUCCUAAAGCUUUCGUCCCAUCGGCACCAAAUUUGCUCAGGCCAAUCUACACCCCAUGGCCAUUCAAAGUUGUACAAAUCAUGACGCUGCACUCCACGGUUUACGUUCAAGGGGGCGCCAAAGAGGACCCAAAUAUCCACAAUUUCAAAAGUCUUAUAACUUUUUGUUUUUGUCCUCACUGGCCUCCAAGUUUUCUAGGAUAAUGCAAUGUUCAGCCAUCAACACAUUUGUGAAAGAAUUUUUUCUCCCCAAACGAGCGCCCCCCAUGGCAGGAGAAAAAGUUAAGUUUUUCCUGCCCAUCGCCCAAUGGCUCAAACGCAUCGC